UACGAGGGGAGCUAGCGUUGUUCGGAAUUACUGGGCGUAAAGGGCGUGUAGGCGGUACCAUAAGUCAGAUGUGAAAGCCCUAGGCUUAACCUAGGAUGUGCAUUUGAUACUGUGGAACUAGAGAUCGAGAGAGGUAAGUGGAAUUACGAGUGUAGAGGUGAAAUUCGUAGAUAUUCGUAAGAACACCAGUGGCGAAGGCGACUUACUGGCUCGAUACUGACGCUGAGGAACGAAAGCGUGGGGAGCGAACAGG
rnacentral:rRNA from 1 species